rnacentral:tRNA from 1 species
GGAUAGGUGGGUGAGAUUGGUCUAAACCACCACACUGCUAACGUGGCGACGGGAAACCGUCCGCAGGUUCGAAUCCUGCCCUAUCCGCCA